UGGGGAAUAUUGCACAAUGGGCGGAAGCCUGAUGCAGCGACGCCGCGUGAGGGAUGACGGCCUUCGGGUUGUAAACCUCUUUCAGUAGGGACGAAGCGUAAGUGACGGUACCUGCAGAAGAAGCACCGGCUAACUACGUGCCAGCAGCCGCGGUAAUACGUAGGGUGCGAGCGUUGUCCGGAAUUACUGGGCGUAAAGAGCUCGUAGGCGGUUUGUCACGUCGUCUGUGAAAUCCUAGGGCUUAACCCUGGACGUGCAGGCGAUACGGGCUGACUUGAGUACUACAGGGGAGACUGGAAUUGCUGGUGUAGCGGUGGAAUGCACAGAUAUCAGGAAGAACACCGAUGGCGAAGGCAGGUCUCUGGGUAGUAACUGACGCUGAGGAGCGAAAGCAUGGGUAGCGAACAGG
rnacentral:rRNA from 1 species